rnacentral:rRNA from 1 species
CGAAGCGGCCCCCUGGACGAAGACUGACGCUCAGUGCGAAAGCUGUGGGGAGCAAACAGGAUUAGAUACCCUGGUAGUCCACGCUGUAAACGAUGUCGAUUUGGAGUUGUGCCCUUGAGGCGUGGCUUCCGGAGCUAACGCGUUAAAUCGACCGCCUGGGGAGUACGGCCGCAAGGUUAAAACUCAAAUGAAUUGACGGGGGCCCGCACAAGCGGUGGAGCAUGUGGUUUAAUUCGAUGCAACGCGAAGAACCUUACCUACUCUUGACAUCCAGAGAACUUUCCAGAGAUGGAUUGGUGCCUUCGGGAACUCUGAGACAGGUGCUGCAUGGCUGUCGUCAGCUCGUGUUGUGAAAUGUUGGGUUAAGUCCCGCAACGAGCGCAACCCUUAUCCUUUGUUGCCAGCGGUUCGGCCGGGAACUCAAAGGAGACUGCCAGUGAUAAACUGGAGGAAGGUGGGGAUGACGUCAAGUCAUCAUGGCCCUUACGAGUAGGGCUACACACGUGCUACAAUGGCAUAUACAAAGAGAAGCGACCUCGCGAGAGCAAGCGGACCUCAUAAAGUAUGUCGUAGUCCGGAUUGGAGUCUGCAACUCGACUCCAUGAAGUCG